rnacentral:rRNA from 1 species
GCAGUCGAGCGGACAGAAGGGAGCUUGCUCCCGGAUGUUAGCGGCGGACGGGUGAGUAACACGUGGGUAACCUGCCUGUAAGACUGGGAUAACUCCGGGAAACCGGAGCUAAUACCGGAUAGUUCCUUGAACCGCAUGGUUCAAGGAUGAAAGACGGUUUCGGCUGUCACUUACAGAUGGACCCGCGGCGCAUUAGCUAGUUGGUGGGGUAAUGGCUCACCAAGGCGACGAUGCGUAGCCGACCUGAGAGGGUGAUCGGCCACACUGGGACUGAGACACGGCCCAGACUCCUACGGGAGGCAGCAGUAGGGAAUCUUCCGCAAUGGACGAAAGUCUGACGGAGCAACGCCGCGUGAGUGAUGAAGGUUUUCGGAUCGUAAAGCUCUGUUGUUAGGGAAGAACAAGUGCGAGAGUAACUGCUCGCACCUUGACGGUACCUAACCAGAAAGCCACGGCUAACUACGUGCCAGCAGCCGCGGUAAUACGUAGGUGGCAAGCGUUGUCCGGAAUUAUUGGGCGUAAAGGGCUCGCAGGCGGUUUCUUAAGUCUGAUGUGAAAGCCCCCGGCUCAACCGGGGAGGGUCAUUGGAAACUGGGAAACUUGAGUGCAGAAGAGGAGAGUGGAAUUCCACGUGUAGCGGUGAAAUGCGUAGAGAUGUGGAGGAACACCAGUGGCGAAGGCGACUCUCUGGUCUGUAACUGACGCUGAGGAGCGAAAGCGUGGGGAGCGAACAGGAUUAGAUACCCUGGUAGUCCACGCCGUAAACGAUGAGUGCUAA